rnacentral:tRNA from 1 species
ACCUGAAUGGCUCAGUUGGCUGAGCAUCUGACUUCAGCUCAGGUCAUGCUCUCACAGCUCACGGGUUCGAGUCCCGUGUUGGGCU